rnacentral:rRNA from 1 species
UAGACCUCAAAUCAGUCAGGACUACCCGCUGAACUUAAGCAUAUCAAUAAGCGGAGGAAAAGAAACUAACAAGGAUUCCCCUAGUAACGGCGAGUGAAGUGGGAAAAGCUCAACUUUGAAAUCUGGUACUUUCAGUAUCCGAAUUGUAGUCUCAAGAAGUGUUUUCUGUGCCGGUCCAUGUAUGAGUCUGUUGGAACACAGCGUCAUAGAGGGUGACAACCCCGUUCAUGACAUGGAUCCCGGUGCUUUGUGAUACACUCUCGAAGAGUCGAGUUGUUUGGGAAUGCAGCUCAAAUUGGGUGGUAAAUUCCAUCUAAAGCUAAAUAUUGGCGAGAGACCGAUAGCAAACAAGUACCGUGAGGGAAAGAUGAAAAGCACUUUGGAAAGAGAGUUAACAGUACGUGAAAUUGUUGAAAGGGAAACGAUUGAAGUCAGACGUGCGUGAUGCGGUUCAGCUUUAGUUCGCUAGAGUGUACUCCGUAUCUUUGCAGGCCAGCAUCGGUUUUGUUAGUCGGAUAAAGGUUUGAGAAAUGUGGCAUCUUCGGAUGUGUUAUAGUCUCAGACUGAAUACGAUUGAUGGGACCGAGGAACGCAGCGCGCCGCAAGGCAAAGGUUCCGACCU